UACGUAGGGACCAAGCGUUGUCCGGAAUCAUUGGGCGUAAAGAGCGUGUAGGCGGCUUGUUAAGUCUUGCGUGAAAUCUCGGGGCUCAACCCCGAGCGGUCGUGAGAAACUGGCAGGCUAGAGUGCGGGAGAGGAGAGUGGAAUUCCUGGUGUAGCGGUGAAAUGCGCAGAUAUCAGGAGGAACACCUAUAGCGAAGGCAGCUUGCUGGGACGUUACUGACGCUAAGGCGCGAAAGCGUGGGGAGCGAACAGG
rnacentral:rRNA from 1 species